UGCCCGUGAUAAGCGGGAGGAAGGUGUGGAUGACGUCAAGUCCUCAUGGCCCUUACGGGUUGGGCUACACACGUGCUACAAUGGCAGUGACAAUGGGUUAAUCCCAAAAAGCUGUCUCAGUUCGGAUUGGGGUCUGCAACUCGACCCCAUGAAGUCGGAAUCGCUAGUAAUCGCGUAACAGCAUGACGCGGUGAAUACGUUCCCGGGCCUUGUACACACCGC
rnacentral:rRNA from 1 species